rnacentral:hammerhead_ribozyme from 1 species
AGCCAGGUGAAGAGAUCGAAAUAGGACGAAACGCGCGUCUUGGAU